rnacentral:lncRNA from 1 species
CCGCAAAUUGAACGUGUCACCCAAAUUUUAGGCCGUCGCACCAAAAAUAAUCCUUGUCUUAUAGGAGAACCUGGUGUCGGUAAGACAGCAAUUGCUGAAGGUCUUGCUCAGAGGAUUGCAAAUGGUGAUGUACCUGAAACAAUCGAGGGAAAAAAGGUUAAUAGAAAGAAAUCAUCUAACCUUUACCGUCAUUAAAUUGGCAUUCUAUUUAAAUGAUUUGUUAUUCUAUAUUGGAGUACCAUUACUUUUUGGAUGUGUUCAAGUAAUUAUGAAAAUAUCCUUUGUUUUUUUCUCUAUGCACGUAAUUUUACAAGUUAAAAAAGCAUUUUAUGGCACAUUGGAUAAUCAUGCCAGUAUUCAGGAAGUGCUGUUUCGUUUCAGUUAUAUGGUUUCAUUAUGAAUUUCAUAGUGUAGGCUAGGUAUUAUUAUUUUUUUAAUUGCUGGAUUUGUGGGAGUGUAAUGUGAUUUUGAUGAGUUCGGAAUAAUGUCAAUACUUUCUUUGCUCAAUUGUAUUUGACAUACUACAGUCUGUUUUGGGUAUGUUUAUCUUUACUCUUUAGACCAUUUUUUUUUGUUGACAAUUUUACUCUUUAGACUAUUAAUCAUUGACAAGUAGGUAUUGAGGUUUCUUUCAAUCAUUUUAAUUAUGUUUUCGAAGUUAUGGCUAUAGAAAAUCAAUGAUUAACUUCAUUGUUGUUUCAAGGAGUCAUAUAUGUUAAUUGAGUUCUUAACUACUGAUAACUUUUCCAUUAUAUUUGUUGUUGACACAUCCCUUUAUGAAGACCCCUUUAGGCUUGAAGUGCAUUAAUGUGCUGAUUUAUUUUUACUAUAAUCUGAAAUUCAAAUAUUAUUUAGAAAAAUGAUGUUGUCAAGGGUCAAUGUCCUCACAAGUUGGCAAAGGAGGCUUUGAUCCCAUGUUAUAUUAAACUAUUCCAACAUCCUAAACUGUUAUUUGAAGGCAUGUGAUAGUGAAUGAUUUUAUAUAUCCAACAUUUUCUUAUAAUAUGCUUUGUUCACAUGAACUAGGUUAUAACCCUCGACAUGGGUCUGCUUGUAGCUGGAACCAAAUACCGUGGUGAGUUUGAGGAGAGGUUGAAGAAACUGAUGGAAGAAAUCAGACAAAGUGAUGAGAUAAUACUUUUUAUCGACGAAGUGCACACUCUAAUUGGAGCAGGAGCAGCUGAAGGUGC